rnacentral:lncRNA from 1 species
ACUCUAAUUCAAAUCCAUCAGCAUAGUAGGACAAAGUUAGAUUUUGAAGUUAUAUCACAAUCAACAUAAGUUAUCAUCCCAAUAUCCCUAGUAUCUAUCCACUUAUCAUAUGUUUAAUUCUAUGUAUCGUAGUUUAUCUACUUAUGUUUUGAUACUAUAUUAAUUGUCAUACCUCUGACCAAAAUCAUAAGUCAAAGGUCACGACAAUCACCAUAUACUCA